CAAGAAAGUAACCAAGAGACCUGAUAUCUUUCCUGUAGGGGAUCCAGAACCUCACUCCCAGAGGCCCUGAGUCCCCUAUCCCAUGUCUGUCUCCCUCUAGGCUUGUAGCACUUGUGCCUAUAUAGUUGUAAUUAUCCAGAGGGACCCAGAAGUUCACCUGGACUGCACACCUGUUCCUUGAGUCCCAAUGCAAAUACCAGCCCACCUCCUCCUGAACCAAUGUUGUACAACCCUGCUGGCAUAGUGACUUCUCUUCUUCUCUUCUGAUCUCUGUCUAGAAGACCCCAGGCAUCAAUCAUACCACAUAACCCAGUGGGAGCCCUACAGAUGCCCUGAAGAAAGUGUGCCCCUCUGGGGACCAGCACCCCUGACCCUGAGGACCAGUAUCCACAAUCCUGGGACCAGCACCCCGAACCCUGCAGAGCCCACUUCAUGGGGGACAUCUGCUGGACCAAGCUACGCUGCAUGGAACUGUCAAGACAGAAUUUCUGAGACACGCCAAGCUUCCAGACCCAAACCAAAAAGUGAAUAUGCAGCACCACGGAAAAACUACUCUCUGAAUUAAGCUGAGAUAAUUACAGUAUGGUGGGAAGACAGAGCCACGCAGACCUGCUCAGAUGCUUGCUGCACCCAGGGCUGCACUUCCACCUGCAGGUCCUUCUGAGAGAGAUGGAGACUUCGGACAGAACAAAGAAGUUGCUGGCUGCUCACGUUGUGCUCUUUUUGGAGGCUAAUCCACAGGGCACCUUCCCUGGUACUGGUUAGGAACGAAUCACUGGGAUUGCUCUGGGCUCUUGUCCUAGUUUGUUUUGCUGAAUCUUUUCCCAACCCUUUUGUGGGCCAAAAAACCAAAUAUCAGGGUAUGAAACAGGACAAUGCCAAAGGGAGGAUAAAGGGCAAGCUAAGGGAUCAAGAGUCCCAGGGGUGUGGUUUCUCACCUGUCACCAAAAUCUGUGCAAAAGUCAGCAAAGAGCACAAGGACACGAAGGGCCACAAUGUGUCCUGCCAGGCAGACUGCAAAGGGGGACACAGGCUUCCAGUGCUCAGCAUGUGGCUCCAGCCACCUUUGGCUUCCAACUGCUGCAUCUGCAGCUCCGAAUUGCCACCUGAUGCUGGUGACAGAGCCUGUAGCAGCCCAGAGUCCUGGAGUGUCAGAAGCUUGCCCAGGAGCCCUUAGCCAGUGACUGGAGCACUGACUGCUGACAGUGGUCUACAUUAGCCCCAGGGUGCCUCAUUAGGCUCAAGCUCCAGAUAACCCCUGCAGGGUUUUGCUUGAGAAAGGAUCCUUUAUUGGCUAUGGCUUUGCCUGUGGCACUCCCUUGUUCUCUUGCUGGGCUUUUCUGGAAAUCCCCUCCUAAACAAGCUGUUUGCAGACUCUCAACUUAAGGUCUGUGUUAAAGGGACACACACACACACACACACACACACACACACACACACACACACACGAGGACAGUAUGCUGCUAACCUGGAGUUUGCAUCUGUCUGGCUGGGCCGCAUUCACAGGCAGAUGGACGCACACAAACAUGCAACUCAUAACACACGUCAGGUAUCAUGGUUGCCACCCACUGGGCACGCAGGAAACUUAAUUUCUUUGAGUUUCAUUUUGAGAUUGGUUGACCUGAUUUCUCAUAACCAAAGCAAGCAUUCACUCUAGAUGGCUAGGAAUCUGUGUUGAUUUGUGUAAUCUCAUUUGGAUUGGGCCUCUCUUUUCAACACAUUUUUAUAUCUUGCAUUUCAGUUUCUACUAGCGCACAGUUCCUUGCUGCUGCAUUUAAAGAUAGCAUAUUUUAGAGCUCACACAGAUAAGUUGAAUUGGGAUAGAAUCUUUACUUAAAUCCCUACUUUUUAAGAAUUUCUUGCAUUUACCAUCAGAACUCCUGCAGUUCUACUUAAGAGAAUCCAGGUAAUGUAAAACUCUGAAUAAUAUUUAUUAACACUUUUUCUUUAAUGGCUAAGAAGAAAACCUCAUUGCAAUACCCAAGGGUUCAAUUUCUUUAAUGAUUUCCUUUUUUAAAAUUUGAUUUUAUUGUAUAUAUUUA